CUUGUAGGUGGCCAACUAAGUCGGACGUGAAAUCCCUCGGCUUAACCGGGGAACGGCAUCCGAUACUGGAUGGCUUGAGUUUGGGAGAGGGAUGCGGAAUUCCAGGUGUAGCGGUGAAAUGCGUAGAUAUCUGGAGGAACACCGGUGGCGAAGGCGGCAUCCUGGACCAAUACUGACACUGAAAAGCGAAAGCCAGGGGAGCAAACGGGAUUAGAUACCCCGGUAGUCCUGGCCCUAAACGAUGAAUGCUUGGUGUGACGGGUAUCGAUCCCUGUCGUGCCGAAGCUAACGCAUUAAGCAUUCCGCCUGGGGAUACGGUCGCAAGGCUGAA
rnacentral:rRNA from 1 species